GCGCCGGUAGUCUAGCGGGAGGAUGCGGGCCUGCCACGCCCGUGACCCGGGUUCGAAUCCCGGCCGGCGCA
rnacentral:tRNA from 1 species